rnacentral:rRNA from 1 species
GACGAACGCUGGCGGCGUGCUUAACACAUGCAAGUCGAACGAUGAAGAAGAGAAACUCGAACUUCGGUUCAAAUUUCACUUCGGAUUAGUGGCAGACGGGUGAGUAACGCGUGAGCAACCUACCUCUUACAAAGGGAUAGCCUCGGGAAACCGUGAUUAAUACCAUAUGACACAUUCAUAAGGCAUCGGAAGAAUGUUAAAGGUACGGCGGUAAGAGAUGGGCUCGCGUCCCAUUAGAUAGAUGGGGAGGUAACGGCCCACCAAGGCGACGACGGGUACACGGGCACAGAGGGUGAACCGACACAUCUGCACGGAGAAGCGGUCCAGACUCCUACGCGAGGGAGCAGUGGGUGAUAGUGCAACAUGGAGUGAACUCUGAUGGUGCGACGCCGCGAAAGCGCUGAUGGAAGUCAUUAAGUAAAGCGCUGUUCUAUGUGAAGAAAAUGACGGUACCAUAGGAGAAAGCCCCGGCUAAAUACGUG